CACCUGUCACAAUUUGACGUUUUCAGACAUACCAGGUUACAUUCCUUAUCUUUUUUUGGGGGGGGGUUUGUUUUGUUUUAGUAUUUAUAUCUGGGCUAAGUGAAGAUAAAAACAAUCCAUCCCGUCCGUGUUAAAUAGCCGCUCAGUCCAAAUCGGAGUCGCGGACUGUCCGGCCCACAGCGUGGGCGAUAUUUAAAAUAGCUGGCUCUUGCCUCAGUGCAGGCGGCGAGUGACCCGUCCUGUGGUCCCCUGUCCUGCCCACUGCGUGAGACUCUAGCGCCUGGUGCUCCGAACACAACUCUGAAUUCUCUAAUUCGGGGCAGAUAGACAGGCCUACUGGGAAAAUCAGCUGUCAGGACCUCCUCAUGACCUGCAGUCAAUGGGAGAUCUAUUGGAUCAUUUCCACCCAAGCAUGGGCAUCCUGCGAGGUUUACCAAGAACCAUAGAUAAUCCCACCAUUGAAAAAAAGACUUUUUUAUGAAUCUCAUACUCAUAUUUUACCAAAUGUUUCUAGAAUACAUAUUAGUCACUGUAGUAUUAUAUUUUGAUUAUCUUGUAUAAUCCGAAAUCUGGAAUAAAAAGAAGUGCGAUUU